GCCUAAGACAUGCUAGUCGAACGAAGUGAACUAAUGAAGAUGGAGUGCUUGCACAAAGUCGGAUUAAAUUCACUUAGUGGCAGACGGGUGAGUAACACGUGGGUAAUCUACCCCAAAGACUGGGACAACAGUUAGAAAUGACUGCUAAUACCGGAUAAUUCAUAUUAGAUAACUAGAUAUGCUAAAAGGAGCCUUUAAAGCUUCACUUUGGGAUGAGCUUGCGGCGCAUUAGUUAGUUGGUGGGGUAAUGGCCUACCAAGACUACGAUGCGUAUCCGAGCUGAGAGGCUGAACGGACACAUUGGGACUGAGACACGGCCCAAACUCCUACGGGAGACAGCAGUUAGGAAUAUUCGUCAAUGGGGGAAACCCUGAACGAGCAAUGCCGCGUGAGUGAUGAAGGUCUUUAAUUGAUCGUAAAACUCUGUUGUAAGAGACGAAACCACAGUAUAGGAAAUGAUACUGUGCUGACGGUAUCUUACCAGAAAGCCCCGGCUAACUACGUGCCAGCAGCAGC
rnacentral:rRNA from 1 species